GGAGGGAUCGCAUAGAGGCCUAGUGCGCGAGCCUGGAAAGUUCGUUUCCGCGUAAGCGGAUCGGGGGUUCGAAUCCCCCUCCCUCCG
rnacentral:tRNA from 1 species